rnacentral:rRNA from 1 species
AUGGCGCUCACCACCCGCGGCGGCGGCGGCGCCGACCAAGCGCAGCCUCCGCCGGCUCCCGACGCGAGCCUCGGUUUCCUCACGAAGCGCGACACGGAGGUCAAGCUCCCCCGCGCGACGCGGGUGAAGAACAAGACGCCCGCGGGGGUCCAGAUUACCGCCGAGCAGAUCCUCCGGGAGGCCCGGGAGCGGCAGGAGCCCGAGAUCCGCCCGCCCAAGCAGAAGAUCACCGACGUCCACGAGCUCGCGGACUACCGGCUCCGCGAGCGCAAGAGGUUCGAGGACCUCAUUCGCCGCGUCCGCUGGAGCGUAUCGGCGUGGGUCAAGUAUGCCAAGUGGGAGGAGGGCCAGAAGGACUUCGCCCGGGCUCGCUCCGUCUACGAGCGCGCCCUGGACGUCGCCCACCGCGACCACACCCUGUGGCUCAAGUAUGCCGAGUUCGAGAUGCGCAACCGCUAUGUCAACCAUGCCAGGAACGUCUGGGACCGUGCCGUCUCGCUCCUCCCCCGCAUCGACCAGCUGUGGUACAAGUAUAUCCACAUGGAGGAGCUGCUUGGUGCCGUCGCCAAUGCUCGCCAGGUCUUUGAGCGCUGGAUGGGAUGGCGUCCCGAUAUUGCUGGCUGGAACUCGUACAUCAAGUUUGAGCUGCGAUAUGGGGAGGUUGAGCGAGCUAGGGCAAUCUAUGAGCGAUUUGUCGCGGAGCACCCGCGGCCUGACACGUUCAUCCGAUAUGCAAAGUUUGAGAUGAAACGUGGAGAAGUGGAGCGGGCGCGGCGUGUGUAUGAGCGUGCAGCGGACCUGCUUGUGGAUGAUGAAGAUGCAGAGGUGCUGUUUGUAGCAUUUGCUGAGUUCGAGGAAAAGUGUCGGGAGGUGGAGCGUGCUCGUGCGAUAUACAAGUAUGCGCUUGACAGAGUGCCUAAGGGCAGGGCUGAGGAUCUUUACAGGAAAUUCUUGGCAUUUGAGAAACAAUUUGGUGACCGUGAGGGGAUUGAGGAUGCUAUUGUGGGCAAGCGGAGAUUCCAAUAUGAAGAUGAGGUGAGGAAGAAUCCACUCAACUACGACUCAUGGUUUGAUUACAUCAGGCUGGAGGAGAGCGUCGGGAAUAAGGACAGGAUCAGAGAUGUGUACGAGAGGAGUAUCGCAAAUGUUCCUCCUGCGGAAGAGAAGCGGUACUGGCAGAGGUAUAUCUACCUUUGGAUAAACUAUGCUUUGUAUGAGGAACUUGAUGCACAGGACAUGGAAAGGACCCGGGAGGUCUAUAGGGAAUGUCUGAAACUCAUUCCACACAAGAAAUUUACCUUUGCUAAGCUAUGGCUGAUGGCUGCGCAGUUUGAGAUAAGACAGAAGAACAUAAAGGCUGCACGGCAGAUUCUCGGUAAUGCAAUAGGUAUGGCACCGAAGGGGAAAAUAUUUAAGAAGUACAUCGAGAUCGAGCUUUAUCUGGGCAACUUUGACCGCUGUAGAACUUUGUACGAAAAAUACAUCGAAUGGUCUCCAGCAAAUUGUUAUGCCUGGAGGAAGUAUGCCGAACUGGAAAAGAACCUUAGUGAGACUGAUCGUGCUCGAUCAAUAUAUGAGCUUGCUAUCGCCCAGCCAGCCCUUGAUACACCUGAAGUUCUAUGGAAGGAGUACUUGCAAUUUGAAAUUGACGAAGAUGAAUUUGAUAGAGCAAGAGAACUCUAUGAGAGAUUGCUUGAUAGAACAAAGCACUUGAAGGUAUGGAUCAGCUUUGCUGAAUUUGAGGCCUCAGCUGGCUUGGGAGAAGACGAUGGAAGUGAGGAGAAUAAGAAUGAUGCUGGUUAUCAGGAACAGCAGACAGAGCGGGUCCGGAGGUGUCGGGCUGUCUUUGAAAGGGCAUUCGACUACUUCAGGACCAAUGCUGCAGAGCUAAAAGAAGAAAGAGCAAUGCUCCUGGAAGAGUGGCUCAAAAAAGAGUUGAGCUUUGGUGAUCUUGGUGAUGUCACUUUAGUGCAGAAGAAGGCGCCAAGGAAAGUGAAGAGGAAGAGACCACUCCCCACAGACGACGGCUCCAAUAUUGCGUACGAGGAGUACAUUGAUUAUAUCUUCCCUGAUGAAGUCACGCUGGCCCCGAACCUCAAGAUAUUGGAAGCUGCUUACAAGUGGAAGAAGCAGAAGGCAAACGACACAGAGGAUGACUGA